UACGAAGGGGGCUAGCGUUGCUCGGAAUCACUGGGCGUAAAGCGCACGUAGGCGGGUUGUUAAGUCGGGGGUGAAAUCCUGGAGCUCAACUCCAGAACUGCCUUCGAUACUGGCGACCUUGAGUCCGGGAGAGGUGAGUGGAACUCCGAGUGUAGAGGUGAAAUGCGCAGAUAUCAGGAAGAACACCCGUGGCGAAGGCGGCUCUCUGGUACGUGACUGACGCUGAGACGCGAAAGCGUGGGGAGCGAACAGG
rnacentral:rRNA from 1 species